rnacentral:rRNA from 1 species
UACGUAGGGUGCAAGCGUUAAUCGGAAUUACUGGGCGUAAAGCGUGCGCAGGCGGUUUUGUAAGACAGGCGUGAAAUCCCCGGGCUCAACCUGGGAAUUGCGCUUGUGACUGCAAGGCUGGAGUGCGGCAGAGGGGGAUGGAAUUCCGCGUGUAGCAGUGAAAUGCGUAGAUAUGCGGAGGAACACCGAUGGCGAAGGCAAUCCCCUGGGCCUGCACUGACGCUCAUGCACGAAAGCGUGGGGAGCAAACAGG